AUUGAACGCUGGCGGCAUGCUUUACACAUGCAAGUCGAACGGUAACAGGUUAAGCUGACGAGUGGCGAACGGGUGAGUAAUGCAUCGGAACAUGCCCGGUCGUGGGGGAUAACACUUCGAAGGAAGUGCUAAUACCGCAUACGAUCUGAGGAUGAAAGCGGGGGACCGUAAGGCCUCGCGCGAUCGGAGCGGCCGAUGUCAGAUUAGGUAGUUGGUGGGGUAAAGGCCCACCAAGCCGACGAUUUGUAGCUGGUCUGAGAGGACGACCAGCCACACUGGGACUGAGACACGGCCCAGACUCCUACGGGAGGCAGCAGUGGGGAAUUUUGGACAAUGGGCGCAAGCCUGAUCCAGCAAUGCCGCGUGCAGGAAGAAGGCCUUCGGGUUGUAAACUGCUUUUGUACGGAGCGAAAAGGCUCUCUCUAAUAUAGGGGGCUGAUGACGGUACCGUAAGAAUAAGCACCGGCUAACUACGUGCCAGCCGCCGCUGUAA
rnacentral:rRNA from 1 species